rnacentral:lncRNA from 1 species
UAUAAAGAAAAGUGAGGUGAAGAAAUGUUAAUGUUUAUUUUUUAUUUUAUUUUUGCAUAAGCGAAAUAAAUAUAGCAAGAGUGAACAUGAAUGGAUUAAUUCAAAAGAUGCAUGUUCAUUUCAUUAAUCUUACCAUUCAGAAUAAACAAGUUUUGAAAGAAAAUAAGUUCUCAACAUGCAAGGAAAUUAUAAAUCAAAAAUCUCAAAUGAUCAGCAACAUCGAGGAUAUACUAUCAUGCUUGAUUC